GUUGUUUACGUUUCUAGAAGUUUACUCGAUGAUUGAUUUAUGAAGUGCAGUAUGUUUAGAUGUUGACGUGCAUUUUGGGGAUGGAUCUUGGUAGCUGCACACACUACCUCAUCACCAUGUUGAUAGCUCAACCGGUGUUAUAAAUGGUGGUUUUGGUGGUUUGUCAUUUGCUUGGUUUAUGUCGUGGUACGACGCUGGUAGCGUCGUGAAGGUUUCUAUAUAUAUAUGCCGGUUAUGUCAUAUACUGUCUGCCUGUGAUCUCUUUUGGUCAGUUAUACCGUCCUAUAGAGGAAAUGCCGUCAAAAUUUUCUGUUUUCAUAUAA